rnacentral:rRNA from 1 species
CCUACGGGCGGCAGCAGUGAGGAAUAUUGGUCAAUGGGCGUUAGCCUGAACCAGCCAAGUCGCGUGAAGGAUGAAUGUUCUAUGGAUCGUAAACCUCUUUUAUAUGGGAAUAAAGUGCGGGACGUGUCCUAUUUUGUAUGUACCUUAUGAAUAAGGAUCGGCUAACUCCGUGCCAGCAGCCGCGGUAAUACGGAGGAUCCGAGCGUUAUCCGGAUUUAUUGGGUUUAAAGGGUGCGUAGGCGGGCUUUUAAGUCAGCUGUGAAAGUUUGUGGCUCAACCAUAGAAUUGCAGUUGAUACUGGGGGGCUUGAGUACGUUUGAGGCAGGCGGAAUGCGUGGUGUAGCGGUGAAAUGCUUAGAUAUCACGCAGAACCCCGAUUGCGAAGGCAGCCUGCCAGGCCAUGACUGACGCUGAUGCACGAAAGCGUGGGGAUCAAACAGGAUUAGAUACCCGAGUAGUC